rnacentral:misc_RNA from 1 species
GGAAGGACUGGCUGUCGCUUGUGGCGGUGCAUAGCGACUCGUGGCUGCUUUCCGUUGCUUUCUACAUGGGGGCGAGGUUCAACGGGAAUGAUAGGAAGCGUCUAUUCAGCAUGAUCAACGAUCUGCCCACCGUGUUCGAAGUGGUUGCUGAGAGGAAGCAGGCAAAGGACAAGACUAGUGCUGACAGUGGAAGCAAGUUCCGAUUGUCGACUAAGAGAUCAAACGAUGGCCAGAUUAAAAGCAAUUCAAAGCCUGUUGAUGAAGGCUACUUCG